rnacentral:lncRNA from 1 species
GAUGACUUAGUAAUAACCCUAAUCUUGUUAAAACUGAAACAACUGCCAAUUUGGAAACAGCUCCAGAAAUUCAACUAGAAAUUGGAAAGCUUUGGGGAAUAUACAGGAUUUGCAGCUGCUAGAAUUUUUGAACUGCAAAGCAGGGAAGUCUAGAUUAUAUUAUUUCACAGUCAGGUUGGUGAUAGAAAUAAUUGGACUCAAAGUUGAUAUUGUUUUUCACCUUAUUUUCUCUUCUUGCUGUUGCUACUAUUUGGACACAAUAUUACAUGUAAAUACCCAUACGAUCAAAAAGAAUUUCAAGAUGGCCCAUCCACAUACUUCAAGCUGUAGACAACUGGGAAACAGGAAUACAGAAGUGGACUUUUUGAUCAAUUUUGGGUGCUUGUUCAAAGGUGAUUUUCAUUUAUUUGUAGUAGUUCUCUCCAUUCCUCUUGGAUGUGGUUAAAAGUACAUGGAUCUCUGAAAAUCUCCUCUCUGCCCAUGUGAAGAAAAGAGUAUUGUUCUUCUGCUAUGUUCAUUUCUUGCUAUCAGACAUCCAUUUAAAAUUGUUAGAGAGGUCAGCAUAAUCGAAGGAAACUCUUCAAAAGCAGGACAUCAAUCACGGAACGUGUGCAUGAAGAAAUGACCUUCAUGUCUGUUUCUUGUUCUAAAUAAUUUCUUCUUGUACAAAUUCUGCAAGGAUCCCGGGUGCGGAACCACACCACCUGUCUGUCAGUGGCCAUGCUGUGGAGGCAGCUCAUGAAAAAGAACUAGAAGGACUUACAACUAGAAGAUAAGACUACGUACUGGGGCUUUGGGAAAAAAAUAAUCAUCUCUGCUGUCUGUGUCACUAAUCCAACCAUGUAAUUGUUUUCACAUUUUGGUUCUGGCUACCAGGUAGGAUUUCCAGAAGAAAAUACAGGAAUUUCAGAUACACAACAAGCACUUUUUUCUGUGUAAAUAUGCCUGAAAUGUUGCACAGCAUACACUUAUUCUGAAUAAAUAUUCAUUUUUUAUUUGAAAAUCUAAUUUAACUGGGCAUCUUUAUCCUGUGAAUUUAUUUGCAAGAUAUAGCAACCUAUUAGCAAGGAACAUGGAAUAGGCUGAAUAAUUCUUUAAAAAGUAGGAAAUACUGAGAAUCAGUAGGCCUAGAUUCUAACUUCAGUUUUGCAAAUAAUCCUGUAAGUCAUUUGGCUUGGCUUUGCUGCCUUUACAUGCACAGUGAAUGAGAAAGAUAAUGUCUGACCUCACUUUUUUCACAGGAACGUUGUUAGAAUGAAUGAGGCGAUGUGCAUAUAAACACAGAGCAUCUUGGAAGAUAAACACUCUAUAAAACUGUGGUAUCAUCAUUAUUAUUAUUGUUAUAUUAUAGAGAGAAUUUCUGGAAAGUCAGCUGGCUGGAUAUAUUAUAGUAAUCUUCUACAAAAGAGCAAAUAAAAACAUCAUUACAAUAUAGAUUUAAUGGCUUUGUCUUCUAUUUUAUUCAGCACAGCAUAAGAUUAUAGAUGUACCAGUUUUCGAUUAACAAUAGUGCAUUGUUUCCUGUUUCCUGUUGCCUUUAUUCCUUCUUAAUCAGAACCUAAUAAGAUGUCUGCUAUUGCACUUACACCUUUCCUUACAUUUCUAAAAAUCACUGAAGCAUAAAUAGUCAGAGAUGCCAGAUUUUUAGAUUAAAUCUUGAGUCUUAUGUGUAUGUGUAUGUAUAUAAAUUAUAUAGUGAAAAAUAUAACUUUGUGCAUUAAUCAUACAGAAUACACCAUGUCUAAUCCUAUGAAGAUUAUGUAAUGGCCCACAUAUUUAACAAAAAUGUCAGCAUGCUAGUUAUGUAACUCAGAUCCUGAUUACUUCUUCAUAUUAUGAAA